rnacentral:rRNA from 1 species
UACGGGGGGAGCAAGCGUUGUUCGGAUUUACUGGGCGUAAAGGGCGCGUAGGCGGCGUGUUAAGUCAGCUGUGAAAUCUCCAAGCUUAACUUGGAACGGUCAGCUGAUACUGAUGUGCUAGAGUGCAGAAGGGGCAACCGGAAUUCUUGGUGUAGCGGUGAAAUGCGUAGAUAUCAAGAGGAACACCUGAGGUGAAGACGGGUUGCUGGGCUGACACUGACGCUGAGGCGCGAAAGCGUGGGGAUCAAACAGG